CACGUAGGGUGCGAGCGUUGUCCGGAAUUAUUGGGCGUAAAGAGCUCGUAGGCGGUUUGUCGCGUCGGCCGUGAAAACCUGCAGCUUAACUGUGGGCGUGCGGUCGAUACGGGCAUCACUGGAGUUCGGCAGGGGAGACUGGAAUUCCUGGUGUAGCGGUGAAAUGCGCAGAUAUCAGGAGGAACACCGGUGGCGAAGGCGGGUCUCUGGGCCGAUACUGACGCUGAGGAGCGAAAGCGUGGGGAGCGAACAGG
rnacentral:rRNA from 1 species